rnacentral:lncRNA from 1 species
AGAGAUGGGAGCUGUGUAAACUCAGUUCUGCAAACAGAAGGUUUCUGUAGACCAUGGCCUUGCCAACAGCCCAACCCCUGCUGGGGUCCUGUGGAAGCCCCAUCUGCAGCCGCAGCUUUCUACUGCUUCUCCUUAGUCUUGGGUGGUUGCCACUUCUGCAGACCCAGACUACAAGGACAAGCCAGGAGGCCGCACUUCUCCAUGCUGUGACCGGCACCGUUGACUUUGCCAGUCUUCCCACAGGCCUCUUUCUUGGCCUCAUGUGUGAUGAGGUAUCUGGCCUAAGCAUGGGACACGCCAAGGAGCUGGCUAUGGCUGUGAGACAGAAGAAUAUCGUGCUCCAAGUACAUCAGCUGCGCUGUCUGGCCCGUCGCCUCCCUAAGCACCUCACCAACGAGGAACUGG